UGGAAAUUGGCUGGAGGCUGAGGAAUCAUGUGGACCUUAUAAGGAAAACAGACAUAAUGUGCUUACUUCUCGUGGCUGCGACACAACCCCUAAGAGUAAACCCAUGUAAAGGAGAAAGGGCAUAUUUGGCUCGUGUUUCCAGAACUUUCAGUCCAUGGCACGCUGGUUCGGCUGCUUUUUGGCCUGUGAGGAGGCAGAGCUGCACAACCAGGAGCAUCGUGGAGCAAAACCAUGUAGCUCGUGGUAGCAGGGCAGCAGAGAAGGAAGGGCGGGUUGAUGCGGAAACAGGAAACCAUAGUAUUCUCUAAGUGGGCCUCGCCUCCUACACUUCCUGCCUCUCCUCCCCCAUGAGAUCGGGCUUC
rnacentral:lncRNA from 1 species